rnacentral:rRNA from 1 species
UACGGAGGGUGCGAACGUUAAUCGGAAUCACUGGGCGUAAAGCGCGCGUAGGCGGUCUGUUAAGUGGGAUGUGAAAUCCCCGGGCUUAACCUGGGAAUUGCAUUUCAAACUGGCCGACUAGAGUACGGUAGAGGGAGGUAGAAUUUCCUGUGUAGCGGUGAAAUGCGUAGAUAUAGGAAGGAAUACCAGUGGCGAAGGCGGCCUCCUGGAUCGAUACUGACGCUGAGGCGCGAAAGCGUGGGGAGCAAAC